UCUCUUAUAGUGUAGCGGUUAGCACGUGGGAUUUUGAGUAGCCUUGUAGGCGAUGCAUUAAAAUUCCCGAGUCCCCGGUUCGAACCCGGGUAAGAGAU